UACGAAGGGGGCUAGCGUUGCUCGGAAUCACUGGGCGUAAAGGGCGCGUAGGCGGCGUUUUAAGUCGGGGGUGAAAGCCUGUGGCUCAACCACAGAAUUGCCUUCGAUACUGGGACGCUUGAGUGUGGUAGAGGUUGGUGGAGCUGCGAGUGUAGAGGUGAAAUUCGUAGAUAUUCGCAAGAACACCGGUGGCGAAGGCGGCCAACUGGACCAUCACUGACGCUGAGGCGCGAAAGCGUGGGGAGCGAACAGG
rnacentral:rRNA from 1 species